rnacentral:piRNA from 1 species
UGAGCUGACCUGUGAACAAAUGUGUGAG